GAACUUUCCAGAGAUGGAUUGGUGCCUUCGGGAACUGUGAGACAGGUGCUGCAUGGCUGUCGUCAGCUCGUGUUGUGAAAUGUUGGGUUAAGUCCCGCAACGAGCGCAACCCUUAUCCUUUGUUGCCAGCGGUUAGGCCGGGAACUCAAAGGAGACUGCCAGUGAUAAACUGGAGGAAGGUGGGGAUGACGUCAAGUCAUCAUGGCCCUUACGACCAGGGCUACACACGUGCUACAAUGGCGCAUACAAAGAGAAGCGACCUCGCGAGAGCAAGCGGACCUCAUAAAGUGCGUCGUAGUCCGGAUUGGAGUCUGCAACUCGACUCCAUGAAGUCGGAAUCGCUAGUAAUCGUGGAUCAGAAUGCCACGGUGAAUACGUUCCCGGGCCUUGUACACACCGCCCGUCACACCAUGGGAGUGGGUUGCAAAAGAAGUAGGUAGCUUAACCUUCGGGAGGGCGCUUACCACUUUGUGAUUCAUGACUGGGGUGAAGUCGUAACAAGGUAACCGUAGGGGAACCUGCGGUUGGAUCACCUCCUUACCUUAAAGAAGC
rnacentral:rRNA from 1 species